rnacentral:tRNA from 1 species
GAAAUAUAUCAAAAUUAAGCUGCUAACUUAAUUUAUAGUGAUUUAAUGCAUUAAUAUUUCU